ACAGCUCCCACUAAAAUUCACGCCCUAGUUUUGACCUUGAAAAAUCAUGUUGCAUGUGCAAACGUCCCCUAUUUGCAUGUUUCCUCCCAGAAGUUUGCAAACUCAGGUGGACAACUCCAAAUUGCAUAUU